rnacentral:rRNA from 1 species
AUCGAACGCUGGCGGCAGGCCUAACACAUGCAAGUCGAGCGGAGCGGCGGACGGGUGAGUAAUGCCUAGGAAUCUGCCUGGUCGUAGGGGAUAACGUCCGUAAACGGGCGCUAAUACCGCAUACUAUCAGAUGAGCCUAGGUCGGAUUAGCUAGUUGGUGGGGUAAAGGCCUACCAAGGCGACGAUCCGUAACUGGUCUGAGAGGAUGAUCAGUCACACUGGAACUGAGACACGGUCCAGACUCCUACGUGAGGCAGCAUUGGGGAAUAUUGGACAAGGUGCGAAAGCCUGAUCAAGGCAGGCCGCGGGUGUGAAGAAGGUCUUCGGAUUGUAAAGCACUUAAAGUUGGGAGGCGUUACCAACAGAAUAAGCACCGGAUAACUGCGUGCCAGCAGCCGCGGUAAUAC